CAGAAAGCCCGGAGUCGCCCAGGAAGUUUGGCUCGGACUGAGAGCAUUUCCUUCUGGGCCGGCCGGGCGCGAUCCGGGAAGGGCGGCUGCGGUCGCAAGCCGCGCUGCUUUCAGCCAGGCUGGCACCAUGCGGCCCCUGCUUUGCGCGCUGGCCGGGCUGGCCCUGCUCUGUGCCGUGGGCGCUUUGGCCGCUGCAGAACCCUUCAUCGCUCCCUGAGGAGACUCAGCUCAGAGCACAGCAUGUGACAGACACAUGGCUAUGCAAUGCCAUCUAGAUGUCAUAGAGGAGGUAACAGGGUGCUUUGGAAGGACAUGUGGUUUCAGGACCAC
rnacentral:lncRNA from 1 species